rnacentral:rRNA from 1 species
CAGCCGCCACGGUAAUACGAGGGGUGCAAGCGUUAUUCGGAUUGAUUGGGUGUAAAGGGUGUGCAGACGGCUUAUUAAAUCACUUGUUAAAUUCUUCGGCCUAACUGAAGGUCUGCAAGUGAUACUGAUGAGCUAGAGGGUGGAAGAGAGAAGUGGAAUUCUCGGAGUAGCGGUAAAAUGCGUAGAUCUCGAGAGGAACACCAAUGGCGAAGGCAGCUUCUUGGUCCAUUCCUGACGUCCAUACACGAAAGCGUGGGGAGCAAACAGGAUUAGAUACCCCCGUAGUCCCUGUCUCUUAUAC